rnacentral:rRNA from 1 species
CAGCUUGCUGGGUGGAUUAGUGGCGAACGGGUGAGUAACACGUGAGUAACCUGCCCCUGACUCUGGGAUAAGCGUUGGAAACGACGUCUAAUACUGGAUAUGAUCACUGGCCGCAUGGUCUGGUGGUGGAAAGAUUUUUUGGUUGGGGAUGGACUCGCGGCCUAUCAGCUUGUUGGUGAGGUAAUGGCUCACCAAGGCGACGACGGGUAGCCGGCCUGAGAGGGUGACCGGCCACACUGGGACUGAGACACGGCCCAGACUCCUACGGGAGGCAGCAGUGGGGAAUAUUGCACAAUGGGCGAAAGCCUGAUGCAGCAACGCCGCGUGAGGGAUGACGGCCUUCGGGUUGUAAACCUCUUUUAGUAGGGAAGAAGCGAAAGUGACGGUACCUGCAGAAAAAGCACCGGCUAACUACGUGCCAGCAGCCGCGGUAAUACGUAGGGUGCAAGCGUUGUCCGGAAUUAUUGGGCGUAAAGAGCUCGUAGGCGGUUUGUCGCGUCUGCUGUGAAAUCCCGAGGCUCAACCUCGGGCUUGCAGUGGGUACGGGCAGACUAGAGUGCGGUAGGGGAGAUUGGAAUUCCUGGUGUAGCGGUGGAAUGCGCAGAUAUCAGGAGGAACACCGAUGGCGAAGGCAGAUCUCUGGGCCGUAACUGACGCUGAGGAGCGAAAGCAUGGGGAGCGAACAGGAUUAGAUACCCUGGUAGUCCAUGCCGUAAACGUUGGGCGCUAGAUGUAGGGACCUUUCCACGGUUUCUGUGUCGUAGCUAACGCAUUAAGCGCCCCGCCUGGGGAGUACGGCCGCAAGGCUAAAACUCAAAGGAAUUGACGGGGGCCCGCACAAGCGGCGGAGCAUGCGGAUUAAUUCGAUGCAACGCGAAGAACCUUACCAAGGCUUGACAUACACCGGAAACGGCCAGAGAUGGUCGCCCCCUUGUGGUCGGUGUACAGGUGGUGCAUGGUUGUCGUCAGCUCGUGUCGUGAGAUGUUGGGUUAAAUCCCGCAACGA